AAACUUCCCCUGCUCAAAUAACAAUUACCCGCCCAGGUCUGCCCCAAACCCAACCCAUUCCCCAUAUACACACGCGCAGAUACAUACACAGACUCAAAACUCAAAAUCCCUAAUCCUGACGCGACUAUUCAUCGUCUCUUUCACGACAGCUGCAUUCCACUCGCCAAAUCUCAGGCGAGUGAUCCAAAUCACUCAGAUGCACCUUAUCUCACCAUGUCAGCAAGAUUCUAACGGCUUCUGACAUUCUUUUCAUCUCUCAUGUGCUGGAUUUGGUUGGGAAUUCCUGGAGAAUGAAGUCCGAAAAAAUGGGAGUCUUGGAUUGAUUUUGAAUCGGUCCGCUCCUUCUAUCUGUCCGGAUUUGGUCCUAAAAAGGAUUUUUUUUUUGGAUUUCUUGAAAAAGGGAGAGAAACUUCGAGAGAAGGGUAUAUACUCAGGUCUGAUUUUAGGUUGAGGGAGAGUUUUGGAAGACGGAGUUCAUUGAGAAAUUUAGGGUUCUAGGAAAGCUUCUCUUCUUCUCAAUUGUUCAUCUGCAUUUUUUCUUGGAAUUCCAGUCAUAAAAUCAAAAAUACAAAUUUUAUUAUUUUUGUUUAAUAUUAGAAACUCUGCCUAAAAUUCAGAAAUUUCAUCUUCACUAUGAGCUAGAUUGAGGUUCGAGAUUAGGUGUUAGUAGCCGAUUGAAGAUUCCGUUCAAGAUUGUUGUUUGGUUCAUGCUUUGUUAGUUGUGGUAUCAAUUUUAUUUAUGUAGUUGCUGAUUAUUGUCGAGCAAUUGAAACUCCAAUAUUCAGGUGCAUUUCCUUCUUUCUUCUCAUGUCUCUGUAUAUGUGGAUUCGAGUAUGGUUGAGUCUUAAAAUAUAGAGAUUGAAAUUAUAUUCUUGUUUAUUUCCUUUAUAAAUCAGUGUGUUUGAGUUCAAUAUGUAUUUGGAGCAUUCUGCGAGGUUGGAUUUUCUUUCUUUGGUUUGAAUGAUUGAAGUUUGAAUCGAGUCUGUGGUUGUUAUACGAGGUGUAGUGUCUGUUUAUCGAUUCAGGGCCAUUUACAACACUUCUCACACGUCUCCAAUGCUAUAUGAGUUUAUGAAAUUAGUGACCAAUCAUUUUUCUUCUUUGUUGUUAUGAUACUUAAUCGGUGGUGUUCAUCAGGACUUGCUAUAAAUGCUAGAAGAUGAGCAAUUCAAAGUUUGUUUUAAAGCAAUAGUUGGUUUAAAAUUCAACAGUCAAAUAGGGUGUUAUUGCCAGUUGAAUCAGUCGAAUGACUCGUGUAUUCUCCUAAAAUUUCAUGCUCGUUCAUAUAUUAGUCGCAAAUCAGCCUAGUUGCACAUAGUAUAGUUCAUGCCUUGGUAUUAAAUUGACAGAUUAUCUUGAUGCUGUGAUCCCGUCAGUUUGUAGUGUCCAUCUACUCGUUCCUAUUCCCAUUGGUUAGGUUUCACCCUUGAAUAGGAUUGAAUCAUCUUUGAUUUCUUUUAACUGGAUGGGUAGAACUUGAUAGUUUCACCCCUUUCCCUCAUCCUGCUUCAACAAAGUUCUUAAGUGCUAAUGAUUUGGUCAAAUGUGUUCAAUUGCAUCAACUUUGUAUUCACUCAUAUUGUAUUGUCAACUAUAGAUCAUCUCUUAGGCUCUUUGACAUUUGUUUAGACUGCUAUCCUCGCUGAAAAUCUACCCUGUCUGGCACUGUUUAAGCAACAUAUUUGCACAGUUUUUUUUAAUGCAAAUUCUGCUCUCUUGGCUCAUAUAGGUUUGGUUGCUGGAUAGUUUAACAUCUGAGUGAGGUUCAGCUUUGAUUGUUAGUUGUGCAAGUAAGUUUUUUCCUUCAGCCAUUUGUUGAACCACCUUAAGUUGUUUGUCUUCACAAUCCAAUAUGUUCCUCACCCCAACAUAUUCAAAGCUGGAGCUGUAUUCACCUGCUUAAGGCUCUUUAGAAUCUUAGCCUCAUGACUCACUUAACCCCUGGUUCCAGAUUUGAAAGGCAUAAAACAGAGUUGAAAACAUUGGUAUACACUUUAACAAGUUGAUUUAAGAGAAAAGUAAUUGAGUGAAUGCUUCAUACCUUAGACAGUUUUGUUUCAUGUUGAAUGUCUUUCCUAUUGAGACUAGAAUUAGCAGGCCCUUGAGAGUUCCUCAUGCUUAUGUAUUCCUGCUACUGUAGCCAUACAUCCCUAUUAUACAGACAUGUUGAUAUGUUAUUUGAGGUAUUUUGAUGUUCAUUGUUCUCCUGAGAUUGUUGUGGUACGUACUUAUGUGAGUUAGGUCAUGCAACUGAAGUUUUCUAGAAAAGAACAUUUGAGGGUAAUUGGCAAGAAUUGAAUCUUCGUUUAGUGUUGGGAACACUGAUUAUUUUGUUUGCUCUUUCCACGUAAGUUAUAUAGUUCAGGAAUUAAUCCUCAUGGACAUUGUAGUUUAUUCGAGCCUGUUUAAAAUACAAUUGUGAUUGUGUACACGUUCUUCUGAUAUAAUUACAAUUUUAAAAUCAACUCGGAGUAUGCGUUCGCGCAACUUCGACCAAACUUUUGCAAUAAUAAUGGAUCUGUUGUUAAUAUAAUCUUCUUUAAAUAAAUGUGGUUCUUUAGGUCGAGGUGUUCCAUCCAUAAUUGAAUCACUCGUGGCCCUCGUGUUAAUUUAGAUAUAAAAAUGACAAAUAUUCGUAGUUUGCUAUAGGAACGUCUAAUAUACCAUCGUGGUUGUGGACACGUUCGCGUGACAUGAUCGAGAUUUUUAAAAACCAAACCAGAGUAUGCAUUCGUGCAACUUCGACCAAACUUUCUUAAUAAAAAUAAAGCGUUAUUAAUUGUGGACACGUUCGCGUGACAUGAUUUUUGACGCACCAAACAAAUGGGUAUGUAUACGCGUAACCCGUUUCAAGAUAAUUUUCUUAAAUUAAAAGCAAUAAAAAGGAAAAAGCACAUAGGUUCUCAAAUCAGUAAUUAAACAAAAUAAGCCAGGUAUAAUCAAAGCGACCGUGCUAGAACCACGAAACUCGGGAGUGUCUAACACCUUCUCCCGGGUUAACAUAAUUCCUUACCUGGAUUUUUGAUUUACAGACUGUAUUACAGAGUCAACCCUUUUCUCGACUCGGGAUUUAAACCGAUUAAUUAUCCCAAGUGGUGGCUCUGAAUAUUUGAUAAACAAUUAAUCCCAUUUCGAUUGUCACUUAAAUUGGCAAAAACUCCCUUCUACAACCUUCGUGGGGCGUAGUAUAAAAAAUGAGGUGUGACACUCUCUAAAGUGAUAUAUGUACACUCUUAUUCUACUCCUUCAACACUAACAUUAGUUCAUCAGCUACUCUUGCACUCUAAAAGUUCUUUGUUCUUCCUGUUACUUGUGAUCUUCACUGGUCUUGCCGGAUAUAAGCCAAGGCUAGAAACUACACAACACCUGUCUUACAUCUUGUGUUCUCUUUCCCUUAGCUGGCAUGCCUCUGAUUAAAUUUUAGAAUCUAAACCUAUAUGUUUAUUUAUUGCCUUAGUUCAUCAGACCUUGUUUGUUCCUACUUCUGUUUAUUGCUUAUCUAGCAUGCCUAAUACUGUCUGGUUCCAUAUAUGAUUAGCAUGCCUAAAUUAUACUAGCCUUUCAUAUGUUUACCUAGCAUGUUUAAAUCUUGUUCGUUCAGCCUGCCUAUACUAUGUCUACUUGUUGAUAAUUGUCUAGUCUGUUAAUUUAAGUUCUUGGCCAUUUUUUUGGCUCAUGUUAAGUCAUCCAGUCCCUCAGUAACUCUAGUAUUGUUGUUGGUUCUGUAUAGUGUUCAAGUGUUUUUUUUCAAUGUGGCUUUACUGUGAUCUUUGCUAUGUCUCAAUGACCUACCUUAUAGCUGACCUAUUAGUUCUGUAGAACCCCUUGAGACUUCUAUGUACCCUAUUGUUUAUAUGAUCCACUAUACACUAAGGUAUAUUAUGUGUGUCCUCAAUCCCUCUUUCCUUGUGUGGAAUCUGUUUGCCAAAGUGUUUUCUGAAGUUGUUUGUUCCGUGACUUGUGUUUUGAUUGCACAUUGUUUUCCAUGCUUUUCUAACUGCUGUUUUACCACCAAAAUUAGUACUGAUUUUCAAAAAAUCUUUUCAUUCCUAAGACCUUCUUCAUGUUGUUACCGGAAACUCUUUCAAAUCAUGUCAAGCACUCUCAUUUAUUCUUAGCUUAUUAAAUCAUUCCCCUCUGGUCUGUGUACUACUUAGAGGUCCCUGAUAUCUCUUAAACUUUGGCAUAUCAGUGUUGGCUCUGCCACACUGCACAUAAUCAGUCUUUAUUUGAAAAAGUCUGAGUGUGAGCACUGCCCGGGAUCCUUGAGGUCCUUAGGAAAUUCUGACAUACCUGGACACAAAUGUGGAAA
rnacentral:lncRNA from 1 species